GGGAAAGUGGCUCAGUGGUAGAGCGCUUGCCUUGUAUGCAUGGCACCUUGGGUUCUAUUCCU
rnacentral:tRNA from 1 species